CCCGUGAAGAAGCGGGGAUACUACUAUAAGACGAGAAGACCCCAUGGAGCUUUAAACCCAACUACACUCCUAUCCCCAAUAACUACUUAACUAAAAGGAUACUGUAUGCUUGGUUUUAGGUUGGGGCGACCACGGAGUAAAAACUAACCUCCAUGAUGAACGGACCUACUUCCUUAUCUAAGAGCCACCCCUCUAAGAAUUAGUACACUAACAUAAAAUGAUCCUUUUCUUGAUCAACGAACCAAGUUACCCUGGGGAUAACAGCGCAAUCCAUUUCAAGAGCCCAUAUCGACAAAUGGGUUUACGACCUCGAUGUUGGAUCAGGAUGUCCCGGUGGUGUAGCAGCUACCAAUGGUUCGUUUGUUCAACGAUUAAAAUCCUACGUGAUCUG
rnacentral:rRNA from 1 species